GACGAACGCUGGCGGCGUGCUUAACACAUGCAAGUCGAACGGAAAGGCCCUGCUUUUGUGGGGUGCUCGAGUGGCGAACGGGUAAGUAACACGUGAGUAACCUGCCCUUGACUUUGGGAUAACUUCAGGAAACUGGGGCUAAUACCGGAUAGGAGCUCCUGCUGCAUGGUGGGGGUUGGAAAGUUUCGGCGGUUGGGGAUGGACUCGCGGCUUAUCAGCUUGUUGGUGGGGUAGUGGCUUACCAAGGCUUUGACGGGUAGCCGGCCUGAGAGGGUGACCGGCCAAAUUGGGACUGAGAUACGGCCCAGACUACUACGGGAGGCAGCAGUGGGGAAUAUUGCACAAUGGGCGGAAGCCUGAUGCAGCAACGCCGCGUGCGGGAUGACGGCCUUCGGGUUGUAAAACGCUUUCGCCUGUGACGAAGCGUGAGUGACGGUAAUGGGUAAAGAAGCACCGGCUAACUACGUG
rnacentral:rRNA from 1 species